CUCCCCAGCACGUUUAGGCCAGAUCUGUCUCAGCAGAUUUGAGGCCGUUCUGCUGUUCACAGAUACACUGCUCCUAUUUAUAGAUUUACUGCAACCAUAAAAAUAUUGUUACGGCACAAAGGACACGUUAUUUCAAAAGCAGGCACACCCCAAGGAAAGUCCCUACCGGAUUGUGAACAAUGUUGGGUCUGGAAGACUCUCUGCACUUAUUCUUCAGCUCCUCCAGCCUGCAUUGCAUUCUAGAUGGCACUAAGUUUAGCCCUAAUGCAAAAAGUUUUCUAUAGUUUUACCUAAGCAGCAAAUGAAGCAGCUUCCUGACUUGAGACUUCUUGUUUCUCUUUCAGGCUGCCUUUUUCAGCAGCACGAAGAGGGGAGGAGCACAGGCCAACGCCACUCUCCUUUGUUUCUCCCUUGUGAUGUGCGUUACUGUGGAUUAAACUCACAUUUUAGGAUCCCAAACCAGGGACAAUUCAGCUACCUCUCACUGUAGAUGUGUGCCUUAGAACUGAAAGAAGCAGGAGGCUUGCUUUGUGUACUUAUCUCCUGAAACCUGUGGACACAGCAGUGUCUGUUUUCAAUGGCAGUGGAAAUUCCAGUAUCAGAAGCUUAACUACAAAUCCCAUACUACAUCAUUCGAAUGCUGCCUGUUUUCAGUACAACCUAAUGAUGGCCCAGGAGUGAUAAAGCACAGGUUCUCUACAAAAACAAAAAGAAGCAAAAAGAAUGGGCCCACAGUAACCUUCUGCCUUUGCCUCCUGCCCUUUGCCAAAGGCAACUGGAGCAGGGGUGGUCUUUGGGCUGCUGUCCCAGAUGGAAUGGGGGAAAGAGAGGCGCUGCCUGUCCUUGUCAGGGAUGGAAAAGGCCCCCACUCCUAUUCUUAUGAACAUCUGUCAUAUUCCAUCUCAUUGGGCUAGCACAUUUCUAUUUAAAUUACCUCUACUGCUUACCUACGGAGGCUGUGAGUGGUGAUUGGUAAUGGAUGGUUUGGGAACGUUGGUGUAGAUGUCAGUGCUCCUGUAAGCAUCCACCCCCACAAAUGACCGAGGUGACUGCUCCACAACCCGAUUCCUCCAGGUUUUAACGUUUGUUGGAAACAAGCUUCCUG
ensembl:lncRNA